rnacentral:rRNA from 1 species
UGGGGAAUUUUGGACAAUGGGCGCAAGCCUGAUCCAGCAAUGCCGCGUGAGUGAAGAAGGCCUUCGGGUUGUAAAGCUCUUUCAGUUGAGAAGAAAAGAUUGUAACUAAUAAUUGCAAUCCAUGACGGUAUCGACAGAAGAAGCACCGGCUAACUACGUG